UCAUUACCAGAUGUCACUAGUGUUGCCCAUGUUGUUCUUACAUCGUGAAACGAGGCGAAAACGGUGAAACAAAUUGCAGCUAAUUAAUACUUAUAUUCCUGUGAUUUCAUAUACCAAAUUGAACUUCGUAACUUAUAUGCAUACUGUCAGUCAUUCCAACAAGUUGACUAGUAGCGCUCAGUCACUUUCCAUCAGAUUAGACCCUCAUGUUGUCAAAAGCCAAAAACUCAUGUUUGAAGUGGAAUACAAAUGUGUCGAGAUAAGGAUCUUUUCUGAAUCUCGCAAUUUUGGUGGCGUACCCUGCAACAGCAUGUUUUUUGUUAUGGCGCUGUUUCUACUUCUGUUUAGAAAGCCACCCAGCUGAAGGAUAGAGUUUUAGAGACAUGAAGAGUGUGAAGUGAGACCUGCCAUGUGUAUGUUCAUGUACCAGAUCUGCUUGAUGAAAGUCAAAUGCCUUACUAAAUUCAUCACCCAUAUGAUAAAGCAUCAGGGAAUUUAUCUCAUCAUGUGGAGUAAUGCUGUUGGUUGCUGUGAAUUCCAUUUUUACGGUUUUUUAUCAUGAACAUUUCAGUGUGUUUCUUAGAAAAGAGCACGCAGCUUCUUUAUGGAAUCGUGCUGUCCUGGCACGGAGAUUCUUGUGCAAAUGCUGACCUUUGU
rnacentral:lncRNA from 1 species